UGAGUCUCUGCUCCUGAGAAUUUUGGCCUGGGCCUGAGUGACCCCCUGAGCUCAGAAGAAAGAGCCUCCGAAAGCAUUGGUGUCUUAGGUCGUUCCUGAUAUGACCCUUGCGUGGACUCCUCAACCUGACAUAUGCUGCAGGAACUCAGCCAUCAGCGGAAGGCUGGACAUCAGAAACCUGGAAGAGAAGAUUUUAUCAUAAUGCAGUGAGGAGCCCGAGGGCCUGAGAGGUCAUAUGACUCACUCAAGGUCAUCCUGCCAAGGCAGAGAUGUGAUGAAGCCCUGCCCUUGUGAGUACCUGGU